rnacentral:rRNA from 1 species
CACCAGCAGCCCAAGUGGUGACCACGAUUAUUGGGCCUAAAGCGCUCGUAGCCGGAUCAGCAAGUCCCUCGUGAAAUCGGGCCGCCUAACGGUUCGGCGUGCAAGGGAUACUGUUGGUCUUGAGGCCGGGAGAGGUCGGAGGUACUCCUGGGGUAGCGGUGAAAUGCUCUAAUCCUAGGGGGACCACCAKUGGCRAAGGCGUCCGACCAGAACGGACCUGACGGUGAGGGGCGAAGGCURGGGRAGCGAACGGGAUUARAUACCCCGGUAGUCCUAGCUGUAAAGCAUGCGGGCCAGGUGUCUAGCGCUCCUCGAGGGCGCUAGGUGCCGGAGGGAAGCCGUUAAGCCCGCCGCCUGGGAAGUACGGCCGCAAGGYURAAAYUUAA